rnacentral:rRNA from 1 species
UACGGGGGGGGCAAGCGUUAAUCGGAAUUACUGGGCGUAAAGUGUGCGCAGGCGGCCGCGCAAGUCGAGUGUGAAAGCCCCGGGCUUAACUUGGGAAUUGCGCUCGAAACUACGUGGCUGGAGUGUGGCAGAGGAAGGUGGAAUUCCACGUGUAGCGGUGAAAUGCGUAGAGAUGUGGAGGAACACCAAGUGGCGAAGGCAGCCUUCUGGGCCAACACUGACGCUCAUGCACGAAAGCGUGGGGAGCAAACAGG